CGCAGCCGCGGUAAUUCCAGCUCCAAUAGCGUAUAUUAAAGUUGUUGCAGUUAAAAAGCUCGUAGUUGAAUUUCGGGAUUGGCGCAUCGGUCGUGCCUCACGGGGUAUGAACUGGUGCAGUCAAUUUCUCACCUUCUGGAGAACCGCGAUGUCCUUAAUUGGAUGCCGCGGGGAACCAGGACCUUUACUUUGAAAAAAUUAGAGUGUUUAAAGCAGGCAUUUUUGCUUGAAUACAUUAGCAUGGAAUAAUAAAAUAGGACGGCAUGGUUCUAUUUUGUUGGUUUCUAGGACCACCGUAAUGAUUAAUAGGGAUAGUUGGGGGCAUUAGUAUUCAAUUGUCAGAGGUGAAAUUCUUGGAUUUAUUGAAGACUAACUACUGCGAAAGCAUUUGCCAAGGAUGUUUUCAUUAAUCAAGAACGAAAGUUAGGGGAUCGAAGACGAUCAGAUACC
rnacentral:rRNA from 1 species